AGAGGAAGAAGCAGAGGAGAAUGGGAGUGUUCUUCUUCCCCCUCCCUGGACAGUGUCGUCAUCAUCUUCUUGACCAAAGCUUUGGUGCUGGAGAGAAGGGUCGUCCUCAAGGGCGUUGUUGUUGUUCCCUUUAACUGCUACAGGAGGUUCGGGAGAGCAAGAAGCAGAGUAGAAAGGGAGUGGUCUUCUUCCUUCUCCCUCGCCACUGUCGUCAUCAUCUUCAUAACCAAAACUGUGGUGUCGGAGACAAAGGUCCUCAACGGAGUUGUUUUUAUUGUCUUUGACUGCUACAGGAGGGUCGGGAGAGCAAGCAGCAGAGUAGAAAGGGCGUGUUCUUCGUCCAUUGUCGUCAUCAUCUUCAUGACCAAAGCUGUGGUGCAGAAGAGAAGGGUCCUCAUGGGCACUCCAGUUUGGGACGAGCAAAGAUAUCUCAUUUUCAAUCAUUGCAGCAAUCUCCAAAGGAUCCCAAUCAGUGAUCUCAAGCUCCUUCACCAUCUCCAAAGCUACUUCAAGAGGUGUGUCGCUUACAAUGCUGAAAGGGAAGUGAAUGUUCCUCAUGUAACCUGUCACCCAGCCCAAAAAAGUUCAUCACAAAGGUUAAAAGACUUCAUUCAUUGCCUACAUUCGACAGCUAAUACUAAAGCUGCCUCAGAUACUAUAGCCUUGUUCAGCUGAGAAAGAUUCUAGAAACGUACCAUUGCCAUCUGAAAUCUGCACUUGUAGAAAGAUGGUGUGGUCUUCGGAGUUCAUCCUUCCUGUUAUCGACAUGUCUGUCGUUCUAGCUGGAUCAAUCACUGAAGGCAGAGGCUCCACCACCGUUCCAUUUGCAGCCAAGUUCUGAAUAGCUAGCUGUGAGGGCAAUCUAGAAAGAGGCGCUAGAUCUUUAUUAUUAUUAUAUCUAUCUUAUUAUUCAAGAAAUGAUUUUGCUUUUAUCAUAGUUUCCAUAAUCUUAGGUAAUUUUAUUUAUUUGUCAUGUUUCCAAUAAUUUUAAUUAUUUAUUAUAUUUCUAUUACUUUUAUCUAAAUUAUUAAUUUGCAUAAUCUAUAUUAUAUGGUUAUAUAUUUAGUCAUAAAUAUUUAUAACACCAAACUAAUCAAAAUAAAUAAAUAUCAUGAAAUCCUUCAUGACAAGCGCUAAUAAAUUUAUUCAACAAUCAGAAGAUUAACUAAUAUCAUUUUUUCAUGAUAAUUUUAAACUUUCUUCCAUGAUCCUAUCAAAUAGUGAGGAAGAAAAUCCACAAGCAAUAUAUGUUGGUUAACAUUUAAAAGAAAACUUAUUUUAUAAAUAAAAGGAUGAUUUUAAAUAUAUAUUGUGAUGUUAUCUGAAAACUGUUUUUUUAGUUAUAAAAGUUAAAAAAAAACAAUAUUAAAAAAAAACUGAAAGAUGCAUAAUCAAAUAUUAAUCAUGUAAACAAUUGAAUUUGUAUAAUAGAUAAUAUUUAGUGAUAGCAGAGAAUUAUUUAUUAUAUUUAUUAAUUAUUAAUGAAUGUACCGUUUAAAAAGAUUUAUAAUACAUGAAAUUUUUUUAAAACUUAACGUAAUAAUAAACAUAUAUUUUGAUUUUUUUUUUUUUAGUUGCGAUGUUAAAAUUAUAUAUCAACAAAAAAAGACGAGUGUUUACAUCAAAAGGAGAUUGGUAAAAUACAAAUUAAGACAUUUCUUAGAGCUAGAAAACUUUAUCAUAUAGAAAUAAUUUAAUGUUCGGUUUAAACUUAUCAUAAUAGUCUUUAAAUUAUAAAUGUAUUAAUAAGUAAUUAUAACAUUAUUAUGUUCUCAUGUACGGACAAUACACCUAGUUAUAUAAUAAUUUAGACAAAUGAUAUUUUCCUAAUUUGAUCCGAAUAAAUGUCCAAAAAUAUACCAAAAUCUAAAUGAAUAUUCAAUAUGUAAAUAACUAAUUCAUACAUUAAAUUUCAUUUUAUUUCUGAGAUUGGUAAUAAAAUUUGUACUUAACUUCAAACGUUAGUUAUUUACAUUUUGAAUAUUUCAUUUAAAUUUUAUAUUUAUUUUUAAGUUUUACAUAUUUUACAUUAGUAACAAAAUUAAUGUUUGAUUAUUUUGGUUUGGUUUUUAUUCGAUUUAUUUUUGGUUUGGUUUAAAAUCGAUACUGGUUCAUUUUAAUCGAAUUAAUUUUUGCUUAAUUUUUGGUUUGGUUCUACUGUAGAUAGAAUAAUAAUUUACAAUAUUUACUAAUUCAUCACAAUAAAAUUUAAUAAUUUCAAAUUAUUAAUUUCAAAUUAAAUAAAAUUAUUUUGGUUUUGAUAAUAGCAUGGAAGAAUACAUUUAUUUAUUUUAUUGUUUUUUGUAUUUCUGUAACAGUUCUACUCAUCGAGAAACAAAAUGUAUAAAGCUAUGUUUAACAGUGUAGGUUAGUAAAAUCUUUAACCAAAUGGCUGGAGCAAAUAGAUUAAGGUCGGUUUGGUUUCAUUCCGUUUUUUCCCACUCUACUAAAGCUGACAAACUUCCGUAUGAACUAUAUGCAAAAGAGCACUAAACCAUUUAUUGAAUAUAAUACCAUCAAAGCAAAAUGCUAAUGUACCAAUAUUGAAUAUCUGUUUUUAUAAUGAAAGAGCCACAAAGGCUCUCAUCCAUUUCUCAAGAUCGUCUCAAGAAGUCAGCAACGGGUUGAUGUUGUAACUCGUUCAAGUUCGUAUUAGAGCCACGCCCACGCCUGGUGUGCCUGUUGAUCAACUCCAUGAGCGAUCGGUGCAGCACCUGCGUUCUCGUGUCCACAAGCGAUUUCAUCUUAUGUAACCUUAACCUUCUCCUCCGUUGUUGCGGGCUUUGAUCAUCAUCCUCAACGGGAGGAGAGUGUUGUUGGUAUGUCGAAGAACUCAACAAAGUAUUAGAGCCUCUACCACUGCCAUCAUCGUUACUUGAACCCUCGUUGUCUGUAACUGCUACAUGAGGAUCGAGAGAGCAAGCAGCAGAGUAGAAAAGGCUUGUUUUUCGUGUGUCGUCAUCUUCAUCACCUAAGUUGUGGUGCAGGAGAGAAGGGUCCUCAUGGGCUUUGUCGUUGUCUGUAACUGCUACAGGAGAGUCGUAAGAGGAAGAAGCAGAGGAGAAUGGGAGUGUUCUUCUUCCCCCUCCCUGGACAGUGUCGUCAUCAUCUUCUUGACCAAAGCUUUGGUGCUGGAGAGAAGGGUCGUCCUCAAGGGCGUUGUUGUUGUUCCCUUUAACUGCUACAGGAGGUUCGGGAGAGCAAGAAGCAGAGUAGAAAGGGAGUGGUCUUCUUCCUUCUCCCUCGCCACUGUCGUCAUCAUCUUCAUAACCAAAACUGUGGUGUCGGAGACAAAGGUCCUCAACGGAGUUGUUUUUAUUGUCUUUGACUGCUACAGGAGGGUCGGGAGAGCAAGCAGCAGAGUAGAAAGGGCGUGUUCUUCGUCCAUUGUCGUCAUCAUCUUCAUGACCAAAGCUGUGGUGCAGAAGAGAAGGGUCCUCAUGG
rnacentral:lncRNA from 1 species